ensembl:lncRNA
GCCAUAUUUUCAGAACCUGCUAGCGCAACGGUCAAACACGACCAUAUAUAACGUAUUCUUACAUAUCAAAAACUUUCCAAGCAACAUGAAACCUUCCAAGUGAUUCCCGUUUCUGCCCGAAGGCGUCACCUAUAGUGAAGACCGAAUGUCUGGAGCAGGCCACGGGAGACAUAUGAUUCUCAUUGAGCAGCUACUGAACGACACCAGAGAUAGGAGUCAAAGCACGCGGCAGAAAAGACGCGACCCCUUCCAAUUAUCACAGAGGUGCGAGGCGGCGUGGGGCCGUUUCUCAGACCCUCUCACAGCCCGGAUAACUGAGGUGUGAGCCGAGACUUUACAGGGUGCAAAACACACCUUAAAACAGAUGCAGGAGUGAGAUGCUUGACGGCCCUGGUACCCAUGGAAAACAGCUCAGACAUUUUGUUAAACAUCGCCUUCUGUGUUUUUACAAAAGAAAGUAAGGCAUGCAGAUUUGAGACGACAUGAGGCACAUCAUCCUGCAGAUAUGACACAUACAGGCAGACGGCAGCGCAGACAGACAGGCCACAGAAGCCCACGGCCUGCGGAGAGACACUGAGGUCUACCUGCUGCUGCUCGGGAGGGGAGACCGAGAGAAAGAGAGAGACAGACAGAACUGGAGCCAGUGUAAUGAGCUGUGAAAUUCAGCUGUACACACUCUAUAGCAGCACUGCAUUCAGUGACGCCACAAAUAACUGACAAAACACAGGGAUUACAUUCAACAACAGGACUAAAUCAGCUCACAGAGUAAUAUAACUAUAGCUGCAUGGGUCAAUAAUAAUAGCACAAUAGUUUGCUUUUUUCUUGCUAUUAUGCACAAACCUGCAAUAUUAACAAAUAAACUGGAAGACAAAAGCAGAGUUUACCCUAUCACACUGUAGUCUAUCAGUCAAAAAAGACUAUUGACGCCCAGCUUAAACAAUCUAUCCAAUAGAAUAUGUGGUCAUAUGGUGUUAAAUGCAGAUGAAAAAUCUAUAAACAUAACACGGGCAUAUCGCUUUGGUUGAUUAAGAUGACAAUAGAGUCUAUGCAGCAUAUACAAGAGGGCAUCUUCUGUGCUUCUCCCCGUCCUAUAUGCAAAUUGCAAAGGAUCAAGUUUGUUUCACACCUCACAAAGAACACAAGAACA